CGGUAACAGGGGUAAGCUUGCUUCCCGCUGACGAGCGGCGGACGGGUGAGUAAUGCUUAGGAAUCUGCCCAGUAGUGGGGGAUAGCCCGGGGAAACCCGGAUUAAUACCGCAUACGUCCUACGGGAGAAAGCAGGGGAUCUUCGGACCUUGCGCUAUUGGAUGAGCCUAAGUCGGAUUAGCUAGUUGGUGGGGUAAAGGCCUACCAAGGCGACGAUCCGUAGCUGGUCUGAGAGGAUGAUCAGCCACAUCGGGACUGAGACACGGCCCGAACUCCUACGGGAGGCAGCAGUGGGGAAUAUUGGACAAUGGGGGCAACCCUGAUCCAGCCAUGCCGCGUGUGUGAAGAAGGCUUUCGGGUUGUAAAGCACUUUCAGUAGGGAGGAAAACCUUAUGGUUAAUACCCAUGAGGCUUGACGUUACCUACAGAAGAAGCACCGGCUAACUCCGUGCCAGCAGCCGCGGUAAUACGGAGGGUGCAAGCGUUAAUCGGAAUUACUGGGCGUAAAGCGCGCGUAGGUGGUUUGGUAAGCGAGAUGUGAAAGCCCCGGGCUUAACCUGGGAACGGCAUUUCGAACUGUCAGACUAGAGUGUGGUAGAGGGUAGUGGAAUUUCCUGUGUAGCGGUGAAAUGCGUAGAUAUAGGAAGGAACACCAGUGGCGAAAGCGGCUACCUGGACCAACACUGACACUGAGGUGCGAAAGCGUGGGGGAGCAAACAGGAUUAGAUACCC
rnacentral:rRNA from 2 species